UACGUAGGGUGCGAGCGUUAAUCGGAAUUACUGGGCGUAAAGCGUGCGCAGGCGGUUUUGUAAGCCAGAUGUGAAAUCCCCGGGCUUAACCUGGGAAUGGCAUUUGGGACUGCAAAGCUUGAGUGCGGCAGAGGGGACUGGAAUUCCUGGUGUAGCAGUGAAAUGCGUAGAUAUCUGGAGGAAUACCGGUGGCGAAGGCGGCAUCCUGGACCGACAUUGACGCUGAAAAGCGAAAGCUAGGGGAGCAAACGGG
rnacentral:rRNA from 1 species